rnacentral:rRNA from 1 species
GACAGAGGUCCCGAGCGUUAGGCGGAAUCACUGGGCUUAAAGCGUGUGUAGGCGGAUGCCUAAGUACCUUGUGAAAUCCCACGGCUCACCCGUGGAACUGCUCGGUAUACUGGGUGUCUUGAGCCACUUAGGGGCUACCGGAACAAAUGGUGGAGCGGUGAAAUGCGUAGAGAUCAGGAGGAACACCCGUGGCGAAGGCGGCCCCCUGGGUCGGCCCUGACGCUGAGGCGCGAAAGCCAGGGGAGCGAACGGG